GGUGGCUCAGUGGUAGAGUGCUUGCCUUGCAUGCAGAAGGCCCUGGGUUCGAUUCCUCAGCACCA
rnacentral:tRNA from 1 species